rnacentral:misc_RNA from 1 species
UUUCCGUAGGUGAACCUGCGGAAGGAUCAUUAUUGAAACUUCAUCCGGGGCGCCGCGGCCCUCAGCACCGGUGGAAACGCCGUGCUGCGGGGGCCACGCGUGCACUCGUCCAAACCAAACCCCUGUGAACCUUACGGGAUGGCCCGGGUUAGCGCCCGGUGCCGUUCCGCUUUAUACAAACACUUAUCAAAGAAUGAACUGAAGGCGGUCUGACCGCUGGAUAACAAACUGAAACAACUUUCAACAACGGAUCUCUUGGCUCUC